rfam:Arabidopsis thaliana chromosome 1, complete sequence.
AAGCCAUGAUGUGGGCAGUCCCGUUGAUACUCCUUGAAUCUAACCCAUGCGGCUUUGAAGUCCUCAACUGGACCUUGUGUGAAGGUAGACAACUUGUUUCUCAGCUU